rfam:Ictidomys tridecemlineatus contig070789, whole genome shotgun sequence.
AGGGAUGUAGCUCAGUGGUAAAAUGCUUGCCUGGUGUGCAAGAGGCCCUGGGUUCAAUCCCCAGCACCAUUA